CACGUAAGGCGCAAGCGUUGUCCGGAAUUAUUGGGCGUAAAGAGCUCGUAGGCGGUCUGUUACGUCUGCUGUGAAAACCCGGGGCUUAACCCUGGGCUUGCAGUGGAUACGGGUAGACUAGAGGCAGGUAGGGGAGAAUGGAAUUCCCGGUGUAGCGGUGAAAUGCGUAGAUAUUGGGAGGAACACCAGUGGCGAAGGCGGCUCACUGGACCGGUACUGACGCUGAUGCGCGAAAGCGUGGGAGCA
rnacentral:rRNA from 1 species